ACAUGUCAUCAACUGCUGUGAGACUUGCAGAAGCUUCUAUUGUUCAAUGCUGAAUGUAGGAAAACUAGUUUCAUUCGGCAUCUUUCGUGUUGCGCAAUGGUUAGAGGUGAAAAAGCGAUAGCCUGUUCUGCGCUUAUACCCAGCCACACUUCUCACCAGGACGGAACGGAUUUUCUCUGAUUCCAAGUUCGAUGCGUUCAACACGUCGGCAGAUGAACAAUGAUAUUUCCGCUCGGAAGCCGCGGCUCGCUGCUGCUCUUGGCGUCGAUGGUCUCGCUAUGCUGCGCGGAUCCGACCCAGAACUGCAACAUCACCGCCCCGGCCGAAUUUGUCAGCCUGGCUCACAGAUCGGUGCACGCCGUCCGGAGCACAGCUGGAUCCCUGAGGCCCUUGUACAACUUCGCUCGUAGCUUUCUGGAUGCGGUGCAGCCCAACGAAUUCCCAAGUGAUAUAAUACAGCGAGUCGUGGAUGGUGAACAGCUGGA